UAGGGAAUCUUCCACAAUGGGCGAAAGCCUGAUGGAGCAACGCCGCGUGUGUGAUGAAGGGUUUCGGCUCGUAAAACNCUGUUGUAAGAGAAGAAUGACAUUGAGAGUAACUGUUCAAUGUGUGACGGUAUCUUACCAGAAAGGAACGGCUAAAUACGUACCAG
rnacentral:rRNA from 1 species